rnacentral:tRNA from 1 species
AUCUUUCUAGUAUUAACUCCAGUAUGCGUGACUUCCAAUCACUCGGUCUUGGUUCAAAUCCAAGGAAAGAUA